AACGAACGCUGGCGGCAUGCCUAACACAUGCAAGUCGAACGAGACCUUCGGGUCUAGGGGCGCACGGGUGCGUAACGCGUGGGAAUCUACCCUUGGGUUCGGAAUAACUCAGAGAAAUUUGAGCUAAUACCGGAUGAUGUCGCAAGACCAAAGAUUUAUCGCCCAAGGAUGAGCCCGCGUAGGAUUAGCUUGUUGGUGAGGUAAAAGCUCACCAAGGCGACGAUCCUUAGCUGGUCUGAGAGGAUGAUCAGCCACACUGGGACUGAGACACGGCCCAGACUCCUACGGGAGGCAGCAGUGGGGAAUAUUGGACAAUGGGCGAAAGCCUGAUCCAGCAAUGCCGCGUGAGUGAUGAAGGCCUUAGGGUUGUAAAGCUCUUUUACCCGGGAUGAUAAUGACAGUACCGGGAGAAUAAGCCCCGGCUAACUCCGUGCCAGCAGCCGCGGUAAU
rnacentral:rRNA from 1 species